rnacentral:rRNA from 1 species
CUACGGGGGGCUCCAGUGGGGAAUAUUGGACAAUGGGGGAAACCCUGAUCCAGCAAUGCCGCGUGUGUGAAGAAGGCCUGCGGGUUGUAAAGCACUUUCGGUUGGGAGGACUGCUUCUAGCACUAAUAUUGUUGGAAGUUGACGUUACCUUCAGAAGAAGCACCGGCUAACUCCGUGCCAGCAGCCGCGGUAAUACGGAGGGUGCAAGCGUUAAUCGGAAUUACUGGGCGUAAAGCGCGCGUAGGCGGCUAGAUCAGUCGGGUGUGAAAGCCCCGGGCUUAACCUGGGAACUGCAUCCGAUACUGUCUAGCUUGAGUACAGGAGAGGAGAGUGGAAUUCCACAUGUAGCGGUGAAAUGCGUAGAUAUGUGGAGGAACACCAAUGGCGAAGGCAGCUCUCUGGCCUGAUACUGACGCUGAGGUGCGAAAGCAUGGGGAGCAAACAGGAUUAGAUACCCUGGUAGUC